UCGAUUCGAUCGAAAAUGUUCUUCCUCUUCAAAAGGAGUUUACAACCUUACGGCUUUCAUCCUCCACGCGGCGUUGCUGGGUCACCCUUGCGGGCAUUGCCCAAUAUUCCUCACUGCUGCCUCCCGUAGGAG
rnacentral:rRNA from 1 species